rnacentral:hammerhead_ribozyme from 1 species
GUACUGCUGAAGAGUCUCAAACUAUGAUGAAACAGCUGUCCAGUAC